CCUACGGGGGGCAGCAGUAGGGAAUAUUGCUCAAUGGGGGAAACCCUGAUGCAGCGACGCCGCGUGGGUGAAGGAGCGUUUCGGCGCGUAAAGCCCUAUUGGCAGGGAAGAAGGAGGUCGGUACCUGACUAAGAUGCCCCGGCUAACUACGUACCAGCAGCCGCGGUACUUCGUAGGGGGCACGCGUUAUCCGGAUUUACUGGGUGUAAAGGGGGCGCAGACGGCAGCGCAAGCCAGGGGGGAAAGCCCGGGGCCCAACCCCGGGACUGCUCUUGGAACUGCGCGGCUGGAGUGCAGGAGGGGCAGGCGGAAUGCCUGGUGUAGCGGUGAAAUGCGUAGAUAUCAGGAGGAACACCGGUGGCGAAGGCGGCCUGCUGGACUGCGACUGACGUUGAGGCCCGAAAGCGUGGGGAGCAAACAGGAUUAGAUACCCUAGUAGUC
rnacentral:rRNA from 1 species